GCUGAGAUCGCCUAAUCUGGUAUGGCACAGGUUUGCUAAACCUGCGUGACUUUGUCACUUCAGGGUUCAAAUCCCUGUCUCAGCG
rnacentral:tRNA from 1 species